rnacentral:rRNA from 1 species
AAAUUGAAGAGUUUGAUCAUGGCUCAGAUUGAACGCUGGCGGCAGGCCUAACACAUGCAAGUCGAACGGUAACAGGAAGCAGCUUGCUGCUUCGCUGACGAGUGGCGGACGGGUGAGUAAUGUCUGGGAAACUGCCUGAUGGAGGGGGAUAACUACUGGAAACGGUGGCUAAUACCGCAUAACGUCGCAAGACCAAAGAGGGGGACCUUCGGGCCUCUUGCCAUCAGAUGUGCCCAGAUGGGAUUAGCUUGUUGGUGAGGUAACGGCUCACCAAGGCGACGAUCCCUAGCUGGUCUGAGAGGAUGACCAGCCACACUGGAACUGAGACACGGUCCAGACUCCUACGGGAGGCAGCAGUGGGGAAUAUUGCACAAUGGGCGCAAGCCUGAUGCAGCCAUGCCGCGUGUAUGAAGAAGGCCUUCGGGUUGUAAAGUACUUUCAGCGGGGAGGAAGGUGUUGUGGUUAAUAACCACAGCAAUUGACGUUACCCGCAGAAGAAGCACCGGCUAACUCCGUGCCAGCAGCCGCGGUAAUACGGAGGGUGCAAGCGUUAAUCGGAAUUACUGGGCGUAAAGCGCACGCAGGCGGUCUGUCAAGUCGGAUGUGAAAUCCCCGGGCUCAACCUGGGAACUGCAUUCGAAACUGGCAGGCUUGAGUCUUGUAGAGGGGGGUAGAAUUCCAGGUGUAGCGGUGAAAUGCGUAGAGAUCUGGAGGAAUACCGGUGGCGAAGGCGGCCCCCUGGACAAAGACUGACGCUCAGGUGCGAAAGCGUGGGGAGCAAACAGGAUUAGAUACCCUGGUAGUCCACGCCGUAAACGAUGUCUACUUGGAGGUUGUGCCCUUGAGGCGUGGCUUCCGGAGCUAACGCGUUAAGUAGACCGCCUGGGGAGUACGGCCGCAAGGUUAAAACUCAAAUGAAUUGACGGGGGCCCGCACAAGCGGUGGAGCAUGUGGUUUAAUUCGAUGCAACGCGAAGAACCUUACCUGGUCUUGACAUCCACGGAAGUUUUCAGAGAUGAGAAUGUGCCUUCGGGAACCGUGAGACAGGUGCUGCAUGGCUGUCGUCAGCUCGUGUUGUGAAAUGUUGGGUUAAGUCCCGCAACGAGCGCAACCCUUAUCCUUUGUUGCC